AUAUCCCCGGGCCCAAUCGUAGGCUCAAGCCGAUGUCCCUCUUCAUUCGAGGACUUUGGCAGUCUGUCAUGAUGGAUACUGGUGCCCGACCAAUAGUGGUGCUCCGCCAGAACAGAGGCAACUUCACGCUCCCUUAUCCACCCGAGAAAGCGAGGGGAUGAAGGUGGAGUGGAGUAGUCUGUGCAUUGAGGAAAUGAUUGACGGACAGCCCCCCCCCGCCUUCCAAUCGGAGCGCUGUGCGCAGCCUGGCCAACCUAUGGGACUUGGCUGCUAAGGCGAGAGGCGGGCUUCUCAGAAGUAGGAAGUAUUCGUGGGUCCGUCUGCAGUCAGCCGGGCAAAGGGCUCGGCGGACUCUGGAAAUAGGGAAGCGCGAACCGUGGACGUGCUCAUGACGAGGGGGGAGUGAGCUUACAAAGGCCACGUGCAGGCGGCCCAGAGCUUGCCCAGACUCACAAAAGGGGUUCCCUGAAUUGCGACUUCCUUUCUCUCUGCGUGGUGUGCUUAAUUCCAAGCUCCUUGUCAUGUUGGCUGAAUCAACAUCCCCAGGAUCAGAGAUAAGUGUCCUGUUCCAAGACGUCAUAACCUGGAAGAAAUAUGUCUUGGAUUUGAUUAAGGUAGUUUGAGGAUAUGGCAAGAAGGCAGUGGUCUGCACACCAGGAAGUGGAUUCUCACCAGAUACCAAGGCUGUGGCCACUUUGAUUUUGGACUUCCCAGCCUGCAGAACUGUGAGAAAUAAACUGGGAGAUCAAGGCUACUGAAGGGGUAUUUGAGUUCAUUUAUCUGACUUCUAAGGACAACAGUGUUUACAUUCAGAAGUGGACAUCUCGGAAGAAAUUCUUCAUCUAGGAUGAUCAAGUCUCCUGAGGAGAAAUUUCAAUAUACCUACACAUCUGAUGAGAAAAAGUACCAUGGUGAAAAAAUACAUUCAUGAUUCUGUCUACUGAGAAGGCCUGGAAGCAGUGACACCCCAGUGGCAAUGACGAACCCGUGUCCAGAUACAAUUUUCUAAAUUCCAUUGUUCACCUAAAAACCAAUGGGACAUGGCGAAGAGUAUAAAAAGGAAAAACGGUGCCUUUCCAGUGGAGAAACGUGGCGGACCCCAGCCUAACCAAGUGAUCAUUGUUAACACUCUCAGUGAUGUAGUAUCAAGGCUAGGUGCUUGUGAUACAGUGCAAUGAGAGUAAGUAUUUCCUCUUUGUGCUAUUCUUGAAAAUCGACAGCCCCAGUCUGAUCAUGAAAAUACAUCAGACACAUCCAAAUUGAGGGAGUCUCCAGAACACCAGUACACUGUAAAACUGCCAGGUCACUGAAAGUGAAGUUCCAUUAAGAAGUUGUCACAGACCAGGGGUGCCUGGGUGGCUCAGUCAUUUAAGCGUCCGACUCUUAUUUCGGCUCGGGACGUGAUCUCAUGGUUCAUGAGUUUGAGCCCCCAUCUGUCAGCGCAGAGACUGCUUGGGAUUCUGUCUCUCUCUCUCUCAAAAACAAAUAAAUAAACUUCAAGAAAUUAAAAAAAAAAAAGUUGUCACAGACCAGACUAAUUUCUUCAGUAUCCUGGAUUAGAUUCUGGCACAAAAAAGAGGGAAAAGUGGUAGAAAUCUGAAUAAAGUGUCAUUUAGUUAAUAGUAUUGUACUCAUGUUAAUGUCUUAGCUUUAACAAAUACCAGUGUUGCAUAAGAUGUUACCAUUAGAGCAAACUAGGUAAAGAAUAUGUAUGAAUUCUUUGUACUAUCUUGGUACCUUCCUCUGUAAAUCCAAAAUGAUCCCAAAAUUUAAAAUAAUUAACAAAAUAAAAUUAGAUUAAUAAAAUACAUAAUUAAAUUAAAUACUUAAUAACACAGAGAAGACACUCUUUUUG